AUUUUUCACUUUUGAAUAUAUAAAGUAAAAAAACAUAAUAUACCAUAUCAAACUUGUCAAUUAAUAUAUAUUAUUUUGUGUAUUUCAAAAUGAAUUUUAGAAUAAAUUUCUUUUUGUUUUGUUUUGUUCUAUUAUUAUGUAUUCUUCAAAACGCUCGAUGUGAUGAAGAAAGGACAGGAUGGUCGACUGAUUAUGAGUAUGACUCAAAAUCAUUACCGGCCAUAGAAGUUAAACUAAGUCCUCCGGAGAAUCCUUUACCACAAGUUUCAGCAGAAAUUAAAAUUUUAGAAUCUGCUAGACUUAAAAUGGAGGAAGUAAAAAAAAAAAAUAAAAAAAAGAGCAAUAAUAAA